rnacentral:tRNA from 1 species
UGUCCUAUAGUGUAACGGUAACACAACGGUUUUUGGUGCCGCAUUUCCUGGUUCGAAUCCGGGUAGGACAACCA